rnacentral:rRNA from 1 species
UCCGCAAUGGGGGCAACCCUGACGGAGCAACGCCGCGUGCGGGACGAAGGCCUGUGGGUUGUAAACCGCUUUUCUCAAGGACGAAGAUCUGACGGUACUUGAGGAAUCAGCCUCGGCUAACUCCGUGCCAGCAGCCGCGGUAAGACGGAGGAGGCAAGCGUUAUUCGGAAUUAUUGGGCGUAAAGCGUUCGUAGGCGGCUUAUCAAGUCUGCGGUUAAAGCCCAGGGCUCAACCCUGGAGAGGCCGUGGAAACUGUUAGGCUAGAGUGCGGUAGGGGUAGCGGGAAUUCCCAGUGUAGCGGUGAAAUGCGUAGAUAUCGGGAAGAACACCAGCGGCGGAAGCGCGCUACUGGGCCUGCACUGACGCUGAGGGACGAAAGCUAGGGGAGCGAAUGGGAUUAGAUACCCC